rnacentral:rRNA from 1 species
GUCCACGCCUUAACUAUGAAUACUAAGUGUCGGCGGGUUACCGCCGGUGCCGCAGCUAACGCAUUAAGUAUUCCGCCUGGGAAGUACGGCCGCAAGGUUGAAACUCAAAGGAAUUGACUGGGCCCGCACAAGCGGUGGAGCAUGUGGUUUAAUUCGACGCAACGCGAAGAACCUUACCCAGGCUGGACAUGCAGGUAGUAGAAGGGUGAAAGCCCAACGAGGUAGCAAUACCAUCCUGCUCAGGUGCUGCAUGGCUGUCGU